AAUCCAGUUGGCCAGACUAAGUAUGUAGAUCUCACCGUAGAGGGCUUUCGGACGCGGGUUCGAUUCCCGCCGGCUCCACCA
rnacentral:tRNA from 1 species